GGUUUUUGUUUCCUUUUUUCUUCUUUUUGUUUUUACUUUUCUUCAUAUAAGAUCUCUCCAUUCCCCAUCUUGAUGUUGCUUAUUUUGGUCCUUAGACUCUGGAUCCGGCUGACUGGGAAGUACCUUUCGAGAAACUUCUGCUGCAACUGCUGCCAGGUCGUAAUGCUGUUUUCGGGCAAAACGUACAACCAAUCCCUCGCUCCCUCUUGAAG
rnacentral:lncRNA from 1 species